rfam:Oryza sativa (indica cultivar-group) chromosome 6, whole genome shotgun sequence.
AACUACACUAUCGAUAAAUGGAUUCACGUGCGAGAUGAUGUGGCUGUUUCACCUAGGACGAGGACAUGGCAUUCUAUUACCAGCCAUCGCGCGAAAUUAAUGAGAUGCCACGUUCUCAUUCUAGAUGGAACAACCACGUCAUCUCACGGGUGAAUCUAUUCAUCGAUAGUGUAGUU